GUCCACGCCGUAAACGGUGGGCGCUAGGUGUGGGGAACAUUCCACGUUCUCCGUGCCGCAGCUAACGCAUUAAGCGCCCCGCCUGGGGAGUACGGCCGCAAGGCUAAAACUCAAAGGAAUUGACGGGGGCCCGCACAAGCGGCGGAGCAUGCGGCUUAAUUCGAUGCAACGCGAAGAACCUUACCUAGGCUUGACAGUUGGGGAAAUCUGGCAGAGAUGUCAGGUCCGUAAGGGCCCCAAAAC
rnacentral:rRNA from 1 species